GGGCAACCUGUCUAGGAGUGGGGGAUAACUCGGGGAAACCUGGGCUAAUACCGCAUACGUUCUCGGUGCUUAGGCAUCGAAUGGAAAGCUGGCCUCUACAUGUAAGCCAGUGCUCUUAGAGGGGCCCGCGCCCGAUUAGCUAGUUGGUGAGGUAACGGCUCACCAAGGCGACGAUCGGUAGCCGGCCUGAGAGGGCGAUCGGCCACACUGGGACUGAGACACGGCCCAG
rnacentral:rRNA from 1 species